rnacentral:misc_RNA from 1 species
ACACCUCAACUCCCGUGGUUCGCCACGGUGAGCUUGGACUUUGGGGGUUUUGCUGGCCUGUGGUCGGCUCCUCUCAAAUGAAUUAGCCUGCCAGUGUUUGGUGGCGUCACGGGUGUGAUAAAUAUCUACGCUUGCGAUUGCCCACCAUGUAACCUUCAGCAAUGGGGGUUCGCUGGGGCUCAUAGACGUCUCUCCCUAAGUGAGGACAGUUUUUUAAC